rnacentral:tRNA from 1 species
GCCGGUGUGGUGUAGUGGCAACACGUAACCUUCCCAAGGUUGAAUUGCGGGUUCGAUUCCCGUCACCGGCUCCA